GUGUGGCGCGCCCGCAACGUCGCCUGGAGCCGCGACUUCCGGAUGCGGGAGUUGGAAGGACGCAUCAGGGCUCUGGAGAAGGAGAACGAGAUUCUCCGACAGAAGCAAUUAGGCCAAUCUAACAGCAGCACGCUGCACAUCAAGACCGAGGAGCUGUCGCGGCAAUUCAACGAGCAGCUCAGCAUCAUGAAACAGGAGAAGGAG